GGACGUGAGUCUGAGUGAACUCCGGGAGUUGGUGAUGGACAGGGAGGCCUGGCGUGCUGCGAUUCAUGGGGUCGCAAAGAGUCGGACACGACUGAGUGACUGAACUGAACUGAGAGCCCCAAUAUGUCUAUUUAGAAGCAUUUCCCUGACACCCUCCAUGUGAUCUACACACAUGCAUAUACACGCAAACCUUGGCUUACAGACUGUGUUCAGCACACCUGCAGAUUCUGAGGGGUUCCUUGGAAGAACGUUGGUCCUCCUGGACCGGCAUGUACUUUAGCUUUUGGCACCCAUUGGCAGAUGCUCACAUGUACUGUGUGCUGGGAGAAUGAGAGCCUUCCUGCUGUGAUGGUGCUUGUAAAGCCGCUGCUCGUAUGCCUCUCUCCAGAAGGCCCGCCUCUCCGUCCUCAGUGGCCGACAGAGGUGAAAGCGCCCUUGCUCUGCGGCUCCUUCACGGGGCAGUGGGUGUGUCCGUCGCUCCUGAGGGAGCCGCCAUGGAAACCUUCAGCUGGGGCAACAAGUGUUCUGCUGUUUCUGUACAUGGUUUCACACAGGUCAGGCUGGGCUUGGGGGUUCCUGGGCUGAACACACAGCUUGGGGAAGAUGUUUCCUCUCAUCCUGAAGAAGCUGUGUCGCUGGGAGCCGUCCCCCUGCAGCAGAAUGUAGGGGCAGGGUCACUAGGCAAAGAGUUUCCAUGUGCAAAUUCUGCACAUCCCAACCGCAGGUUUCUGCCAGGCUGUUUAGACCAGCUAAAAAUGGAAUAUAAACAGUUGCAGAAGGAUGCAGUUAGGAGGAGAAACAUUUCUAAGAACUAACCCGUUGCAGUCGGCAAAUGUACGCCUUAGCCCAUUGCAGUAGGGAGGUGAUGGCUCUCUGUUGUUGUCGUUCAUUUCUCAAAGAGUUGUUUUUGUCUAGUAUUUGUACGUGAGUGUUAACGUGUGCACACAUGCAUAUAUAAAUAUAUAUAUUCUAGACAUUUCUUCUUUAAUGUUUCCACCAAAAAUACGUACUUUUAAGUGUAGGAAUAAAAAAAUUGUUCUCAGUUAUUGAAGCUCCUCCAGAAGUAACUCCCCCCCAUGGUGGUUUUUCCUUUCUAAAAUUCAUCUGGAAAAACACUUAAGUUUCUGAUCUUGAUUUUAUCCAGUUCAAGACUGUUAGGAAGAGUUAUUGUAUAACUGAGCAGUGCUUUUAUUAAAAAGAACUGGGCCACUUAUUUGCCUUAGAGUUUCUGGUGUGUUUACAUCUUUUCUAGGUAAACAAAACUUUUAUUGAUGAUAAUAUUUUGAGACUAACGCCCUUGUCACCACCAGUGACGCUGAAAGCCCUCUGCUGUCUGCUGGUCUUAUGUGCUGUCUGAGCCCAUGUGCAACUCCCGGGUGUCUGUGGGACCGUCUGGAGCGCUGGGGGCUGGUUGGUGGGGCUAGACUGAGGGGAGAGAGGCGCUCGGCCCUCUUCUGGCUCUCGGGAGGUGGUGGGGGAGAUGGGACCCGACGUGGACACAAGCGCAGUGAGUGUCAGGAGGCCAGGUCUGUUUUUUAAUUGGAUUGUUUGGCUUUUGAAUCUUGAAUUGUAUGUUUAUAUAUAUUGGCUAUUAACCCCUUAUCAAUCAUUACCAUUUGCAAAUAUUUUUCUCCUGUUCAGUACAUUGUCUUUUUGUUUUGUUGAUGGUUUCCUCAAAAAUGGACAGGAAGAACUGAAUAGACAUUUUUCCAAAUGGCCAUUAGGCACAUGAAAAAGAUGCUGGACAUCACGAAUCAUUAGGGAAAUGCAAAUCAAAACCACAAUGAGAUACUACCUCAUGCCUGUUAGAACAGCUGUCCUCAAAAAGAGCACAAAGAACACAUUUUGAUGAGAGUGUGGAGAAAAGGGAACCCUCCUAUAUUGUCUGUGGGAAUGUAAAUUGGUGCAACCACUGUCGAAAACAGUAUGGAGAUUUUUCAAAAAAAUAAAAACAGAACUACCAUAUGACCUAACAUUUUCAUUCCUAGGAAUAUAUCUGAAAAAAAGGAAAACACUAAUCCAAAAAAGUACAUGCACCCUAGUAUUCAUAGCAGCAUUAUUUACAGUUGCCAAGAUAUGGAAGCAACGUAGAUUUCCAUUAGCAGAUAAAUGAACAAAGAAAAUGUAUAUAUGUGCGUGCGCGCACACACACAAUGGAAUAUUACUCAGCCAUAAAAAAAAAAACAACGAAAUUUUGUCAUUCACAGCACCAUGGGUGGACCUGGAGGGCAUUAUGCUAAGUGAAGUAAGUCUGACAGAGGAAGACAAAUACUGAAUAUAACAGAAAAGCAGGCUCACAGGUGUAGAGAACAAACUAGUGGUUAUCCGUGGAGAGGAGGGGGAGGGGCACAAUAGGGGUAGGGGAUUAAGAGGCACAAACUGUUCUGUAUAAAGUAACCUACAAGGAUACAUUUAUAACACGAGGAAUAAACCCAGUGCUUUAUAAUAACUAUAAAUGGAGCUGGUGCUUAGUGACUAAGUCAUGUCCAACUCUUGUGACUCCAUGGACUGUAGCCCACCAGGCUCCUCUGUCCAUGGGAUUUUCCAGGCAAGAAUACUGGAGUGGGUUGCCAUUUCCUUCUCCAGGGGAUCUUCCUGAGCCAGGGAUCUAACCCACGUCUCCUGCAUUGGCAGGUGGGCUCUUAAGCCAUAGAUGAAAUAUGACCUUUAAAAGUUGGGAAUUGUACACCUGUAACUUAUAUGACAUUGUACAUCAACUGUACUUCAAUGAAAAAAAAGGCAGAAGUGGAAUCUGGACCGCAUGAUCUGUGUGUGGCGUUGUUGGGCGGAACAGUUAAACCCGAGGCCCGCAGGUGGCCUUGUGCCUGUCCAGGGAAGGAGGUAGAGCCAGAUGGGCGAUUCUGUCUGUCUGACCCAACCUCUGCUCAGACCUCAGCCUCCUCUGCCAGGCUGUCUGGGUCUGUCUGUCUGUCUGUUGGCUUCCGUCAGUUUGGACAUAGCUGUGAACUUCUUUUCAAGGACUUGAAGAAAUGCUGACGUUUACUUCAAAUGUUAACUAAGACUCGUGCAGGUGAAUGGCAGGGAUUCCAAUGAACAGAUGUUAAUACAUUCUGAGUGCUUCUCUGCAGCUGACUCUCGAAACCUCCUGGAUCCCUGGACCUUGAGCAUUGUGAGGGACCUUGGGCACUGUCCAGACCAGCCCUGUUAUUUUCCAGGUAAAGGAACCAAAGGCCAGGGACUGAGUGUGCUGUGGGGAUGCCAUGCAGCCUGGUGAAGGCUCCCCAUCUGCGGCUCCCUCUGCUGUCCUCGAGGCCUGCUUGGGGAGGGCUCCCGGGCUGCAGCCAUCUCUUGUUCCCCAUGUGCUCGCCAGCUGAGCAGCUUUGCUUGCCUGACCCUGUUGGUCAGCAUCCGACAGCCCAUCCUCGGGCGGCGGUGGGGUCUGGAGGGUCGUCCUGGAGCUUCACAAGGCAUUCGGCUCUCCGUCUCUCCCCAUCUUCAAGGCGGGUCCAGUUGGGUGGUGGAGGUUCCAGGCCAAGAGCAGGAAGAACACCUGGUGUGGAAGGACAGGGGUUCUGGUCAGGUCCUGGUUGCUGGAGUCCGAGUCCUCAGGGAGUGGCAGAUGGGCAGGAGGCGAGGAGCGGCCUGCGGCGGAUGCGGCCGCUUCUUCCCUGCCGAGCGCAGCCCUGGCCCCUGAGUGCAGGCAGCCCGUGGGCACGGCCCACUGUGGACCCGCCUUGUAAUGGGCUGUAGUGUUUCAUUUCAAAAAGUGGCAAACUGCGGCCGGUUGGUUUCCUUAUUAGAACUCACGUAUUACAUUGGCGAGUAUGUUGAAGGAGAGAAGGGAGUGUUUUGUAAUUUCAGUGUGUCCUGCCUCUGCGCCACACCCCGUCCUGUGGAUGAUUAUUAGAGGACUGGACUUCUGCCCACAACUUGUUUAUCCAUCUCAUCAACUUGUUCGCUUUUUCAGCCCUUCUUCCCUUCACUUUAUCAUGCCAGCUCCAGGGAUCCCUUAUUAAAGGGGUCAAUUAAUCAUGUGAUAUCUUGUUUUUUGCAUCUGAGUUUUCAAGAGCUCUCCAGAUUUUUAUUGCCUAAAGUUCCAUAUGCCAUAGACAUAAUCCCGUCAGCUGUAAAUUGCCUUCUGGAGGAGAAAUUGACAAACAACUUUAUAAUUGCAUUUUUAGACUUAAUAUCUGAGGGCCAAAAGCAUAUUCAAGAUUUAUGGGGUUCCUGAAUUUAAACUAUAAGCAAUAAAAUUUUCUUAAGGUGGGGUCCCAUCUGCAUCUAUUAUUACAAAACCCUUAAAGUUACUUUAGCAUGUGACAUGUUAAUAGUUUUCUUUUUUCUUUUACUUUUUGACAAAUUGUGUCUAAGAAAAUUUGCUUGCAUGGAAAGUUUUCUGUGUUUGCAGACUUGAACAGUUUUGCUGGUUAAGCAGUCUGGGGAUGAUAAACUUUUUUGUCAAAGUAUGACUUUGUUGCUGCAUUCAGGAGAAUCAGAACCUGUAGGACAGGUCUGUUUUAAAGGACUCCCACUCAUUCUGCCCAGGGUGCUGUGGAAGUCAUCUGCCUUGACAGAACUAAAAUAUAUGUAAUCUUUUAAAAAAAUCCACUUUCAGUUUAUUUACAUGAUUUGGAGGAGCACAGGUAUAAAUUAGAAAUUGUCCUCAUUUUGUCCUGAUUAUAAGCAGGGCUGGGCCUGCUGAUCAUUUCAGUGGAUGGUUACCCCCUGGGGUAGUGGGGUUGCAAAGUCAUUGCUGUGGGAGGGGAGAGAUUCCCCUCUGUGACUGCAUUAUCAGUGCUCCUUUGACCCAACUGCACCCUUCUUCUGUACUAAAAUAUACUCAACGUAAAAUUUCCUGUUUUAACCAUUUUUUUGUUUUGUUUUAACCAUUUUUAAGUGUACAGUUCCACAGUGUAAUACUGAUGUUGCUUGACACCCAUCGCCACCGGCCAGCUCCAGAACUGUGUGUUUGCCAGACCGUAGUGCUGUACUUGGUGAACACUAUGACCUCCGCCAGCUCUGAGCUCAGAACCGUCCCCGCCGUCCUGCCUGUGUCUCUCUUCCAGCCCUCCUUUGAUACCCAGGGCUGCUAGGCUGCCCCAAGCCGAGAGGGGCCUGUCCGGAGGCCCGGCCCCCUGCAGGUCCUAAUAAGCCACCUUGGCUUGGAUGGCAGGUGGGCCUCGGGGCAGCGGGGCAGGGAGUGCAGCCGCUCUGCUUUGGGAGUGUGGGGGCUGUAGAGCCAGCCGGCCAGAUUUGCUGAUCGGUGGGGAAGAACUUUGAAGAAAUGCAAAGUUGUAUGUAAUUGUUGGGGAGGUAUUCCUAAUGAAAGCAGGACCCCAGGGCACAGAAAUUGUAAGGCAGAGAGACGCUGAAGAAACGCACCAUCUUAAGACUGAAAGGAUGCUGAGUUGACCCUGGAGCUUUCUGCAUCUGGUCAGCAUGGCUUUGAUGCGGUUGGACUUCUCCAAAGAGGAAGAGGAGGAAGGUUAGCGGGGGAGGUGGAGAAGGCCACGGGCAGGCCUGGGGUGGCAGGACGAGGAGGGGCAGGCCACGGGCUGUGGGGGGAGCAGCCGCCAGCAGGGGACGGAAGCCCCUUUGUGCUCUGCCGGCCCGCUGGAGCCCCCGGUCUGGUAGCUCGUGGUGAAUCUGGACUGCUCUUGAACCUGUGAUUUUUCAGGAGUUUCAAGGCCCUUUGUUGCACACUGACUUUGAAUCUUUUAAUUUCUGAGAUGCUUUCACCUGUAACGGUUAACUGUUUCCUCUGUCUUUAGUUAAGGAACUGUUAUUGGGUGCAGUGAUCAAAACCAAAAUAUCAAACAGGCAGCGGAGAAUCUUCAGUGGAUACAUGUAACAUGCUUUAGAGAAAACUAUAAGCAGGAGAACAUAGUCUGAUCUUUUGCUUUCUGCCUUGAAGCCUGGCCUGUGCUGCUCACAGGAGACCUUAACCCUGACCUUCUGAAAGUGACUUCCGAUCACUCUGAGGGGGCGCUGUGCUCUGAGUCACGAAGGCACAGGUGGCUGUGUGCUCUUUCCACCCUGGCUUGGAGAAGGGGCACUUUAUUGAAGUGGGAGGCUCCAGCUCUGCCUGUGAAAAUGUUAUUUCAUGUCACGAAGCCAGGAUAAGGAGAACUGAAGAGCAGCUUCCCCCCAUUGUUGUGUCAGAAGCAGCCGUGUCAGGAACCCUCACAGUGGGGCAGUGUAUUUAGUUACGAGAGAGCAGUGGGACCAGAUCGGCAUGGCUGGUGUCCUGGGGGGGGCUCCUCUGUCUGCAGAUUCUGGGAGCACUGGACUCCCCGCUGUGAGAGGCUUGGCCAUGUGGCUCCUGUGGCUUGAGCUGCUGUCUUCACCAGGAAGAGCGCAUGGUCUGGGCCGUCCUCUGCUCCAGGAAGGGGACGUGUAAUGUAUGGUGCCGACCAGCUCCCCCGGGAGCAUGGAGCCAGGCCGGCCCCACGGCCUGCAUCCCUGCUGUGGGGACAUUGCGUGGACCCCUCGGGGUCGCCUCGUUUUCAGCCUCGCACACCUGGUGUGUGGUGCUCAGUGGCACCCAGGUGGCCUGGGGAGGUUGUCCAUCCUGUUGCUGCAUGGCCUGCUCCGACAGAGGGCCACGAGGAGUGGAGUCCUCGUGAGAGCCUGCUGAUGGCGGUGUAUCGAUUCCCAGGACAUGCUGGCUGCGUCUAGAGCUGUGCCACGCGCUCACUCGGGGCGGGGGGUGAUGGCUUACCCGUGCAGCGUGUGCCGGGGGGGCGUGCCCGCAUGGUAGCUGGUUCAUUUCCAUGGGGAGUCUGCAUUGUGUGUCCCGGUCACUUUGGGGAAGUGUUGUGCCCGUUGUGUGAAGGCCGCCUUCAGGUGGUGCUGGCACCGGGGGCCACAGGGUGCAGGUGGGCGGCUUUCUGUUGACACCUGUCGCGGGACUGCAGCACGGACGCCAGCAUCAAAAGGUGUGGGAGUCACAUACACUCGGAAGUCCUUCCCGGAAGGUUAGUCUUCAUUUUCCCACACAUAUAUAACCUUUUAGUAUUUUCUCCUAGCUUUUUCAUUAACGUAUGUAAAAAUAUUAAAAGCCCUUGUAUAUUACAUCAAAAACUAUGUCAGCUGCUCCGCUUUUUUCUAUUUAUUAAAACUUUUCAAGCAGUAAAAACAUUUUACUUGUUAAUGAGGGAAAGUGGGAAAAUUAAUGACAGAGAGCGGGAUCCACCGCCACGUCUCCUCUGAGCCACGCACAGCCGGCGUGCUCCUUGCUGCAUGUACUUUAAUUUCCCUGUUAGGGUUCAGUAAGCAAAUGCAAAUAGAUUUAAUGAUUUGCAUCAGUAGAUCAUUUCUCAGUUUAAUAUCCUCUGAUAUUUUGGGUCAAGGACUCUUUCUUUGGGAGGCUGGUACAAUUUCUGGAGCUAAAAUUAUUAAUAUUAGUAAUAGUACAUUAUGUUCAAGUGAAUGGAGAGAAACGUAUCCUUUUUCACAAAGUCAUGUUCACACAGUACUGUGUUGGCCGUGAGCGGUGGAGACAGGAAGCCUGCCUGACGAAGCAGAUGAGCGGAGCAGGACGUCUUCCUGGUGCGGUGCCUUGGAGCUGGGCCUGCAUUGGAUGCUUUUGCCAUGGUGACGCCUCCUCCUGCCCCAGUGAGCUCCAGGCUGUUUGUUUGCGGUCGCUGGGUUGCAUCCUCGAUGAGCAUCUUCGUGAACCUGGGGAACAUUUCCUUAAGCUUCCUGACUUCUUCCCCUACGGUUUCAGCCCCUGUAACACCCUUCCUUUUCUGCAUAGUCAUUUUUGAAAUUAAACGUGUUCACGUAA